GGGGACAGGUGGAUAGAGGCUGUGUUAGAGGGGACAGGUGGAUAGAGGCUGUGUUAGAGGGGACAGGUGGAUAGAGGCUGUGUUAGAGGGGACAGGUGGAUAGAGGCUGUGUUAGAGGGGACAGGUGGAUAGAGGCUGUGUUAGAGGGGACAGGUGGAUAGAGGCUGUGUUAGAGGGGACAGGUGGAUAGAGGCUGUGUUAGAGGGGACAGGUGGAUAGAGGCUGUGUUAGAGGGGACAGGUGGAUAGAGGCUGUGUUAGAGGGGACAGGUGGAUAGAGGCUGUGUUAGAGGGGACAGGUGGAUAGAGGCUGUGUUAGAGGGGACAGGUAGAUAGAGGCUGUG